rnacentral:rRNA from 1 species
CCUACGGGUGGCAGCAGUGAGGAAUAUUGGUCAAUGGACGGAAGGCUGAACCAGCCAAGUAGCGUGAAGGAGGACUGCCCUGAGGGUUGUAGACUUCUUUUAUAUGGGAAUAAAAUGUUCCACGUGUGGGGUUUUGUGGGUACCAUGUGAAUAAGGAUCGGCUAACUCCGUGCCAGCAGCCGCGGUAAUACGGAGGAUCCGAGCGUUAUCCGGAUUUAUUGGGUUUAAAGGGAGUGUAGGUGGGUUGUUAAGUCAGUUGUGAAAGUUUGCGGCUCAACCGUACAAUUGCAUUUGAAACUGGUAGUCCUGAGGAGAGUAGAGGUGGGCCGAAUUGGUGGUGUAGCGGUGAAAUGCUUAGAUAUCCCGAAGAACUCCGAUUGCGAAGGCAGCUCACUGGACUGCAACUGACACUGAGGCUCGAAAGUGUGGGUAUCAAACAGGAUUAGAUACCCUAGUAGUAC